rnacentral:rRNA from 1 species
UACAGAGGAUGCAAGCGUUAUCCGGAAUGAUUGGGCGUAAAGGGCGCGUAGGCGGCUCUGCACGUUCGUUGUGAAAUCGCCCGGCUCAACUGGGCGGGGUCAGCGGAUACGGCAGAGCUUGAGCAAGCUAGGGGGCAAUGGAAUUCCCGGUGUAGUGGUGGAAUGCGUAGAUAUCGGGAGGAACACCAGUGGCGAAGGCGGCCAACUGGACGAAUACUGACGCUGAGACUCGAAAGCGUGGGGAGCAAACAGG